rnacentral:rRNA from 1 species
CACGUAGGGACCAAGCGUUGUCCGGAUUCAUUGGGCGUAAAGAGCUCGUAGGCGGUUCGAUAAGUCGGGUGUGAAACCUCCAGGCUCAACCUGGAGACGCCACCCGAUACUGUCGUGACUAGAGUCCAGUAGGGGAGCGUGGAAUUCCUGGUGUAGCGGUGAAAUGCGCAGAUAUCAGGAGGAACACCGAUGGCGAAGGCAGGUCUCUGGGACGGUACUGACGCUGAGACGCGAAAGCGUGGGGAGCGAACAGG